rnacentral:rRNA from 1 species
AUUAACUUUAAAUUAAAAUCAAAAAGUGAUUUAAUACUUUUUUUUAUACUGUGAGGGGGGGACUCAUUAGUAAAAAAAUAAAAGAUAUUUUAUUGUACCUUUUGUAUCAGGGUUAAUUAAAAGAGAAUUUUAGAAUAAUUUCUCGAAAGAAAAAGAUUUAAGUUAAUAAAAUUAUUUAAUAUUUAAAAAUUAAUUUCAAUGUUAAUUUAGAUUUGAAACAAAUUUAGAUUUUUUAUAUCUAGUUACUUUAUUUUUAAUUAAAUUAAACUAAUUUAAGUCUGGGGGCAAAUUUAUUUUAGUAAAAUUUAUAAGGAUAAGCUUGUAAAAUUAAUUAUAGGGGUGUAAUUAAAUUUAAUUUGUUUAUCUAGAAAUAGUAAUCAUUUAGUUUGUAAAAAUUAUUUAAAUUAUUUUAAUUAUUUAAAAAUAACUUUAAUAGGGGAGUAAAGUUAUUUAAUUGAAUAAUUAAAUUAAGUUAACAAUGAUUAAAUUAGUAGAGAGAAAAAAUAUUGAUUAAGAAUUCGGCAAUUAAAAUUUUCAACUGUUUACCAAAAACAUUUCUGGGGGGAAAAUAUUUUUGGUAUAACCUGCUCUAUGCUUAUGUCAAUAGCUGCAGUAUUUUGACUGUACAAAGGUAGCAUAAUCAUUAGUCUUUUAAUUGAAGGCUUGUAUGAAUGGUUGAAUGUAAAAUUAACUUUUUUAUUAGUAUGAAUAUUGAAUUUAAUUUUAAAGUUAAAAAGCUUUAAUGUAUAAAAGGGACGAGAAGACCCUAUAGAAUUUGAAAAUUGAUUUGAUAACGAAUUUUUUGGUUGGGGUGACUAGAAAGAAACGUUUCUUUAAAUUUCAUUGAUGUAUGAUUUUAUGAUCCUAAUUAUUUAGAAAAUAAGAUUUAAUUACCUUAGGGAUAACAGCAUUAUUUUUCUUUUAAGAACAUAUUUAUAGAAAAGUUUAUGACCUCGAUGUUGAAUUAAAAUUGUAAGUAAAUGCAGGAGUUUAUUUAUAUAGUCUGUUCGACUUAAUAUUUUUACAUGAUUUGAGUUCAGACCGGCGUGAGCCAGGUUGGUUUCUAUCUUUUUAGUUUAUUUUAAUUUAGUACGAAAGGAUUAAUUAAUCGAAUUUUUAUUUUAAAGUAGAAUUCUAUUAAUUGUUU